AUACAGGGCAUUUUAUGCUCUGUAAUUGGAAUGAUGGGAAUGUAAAACCCUUCCAGAGUAACAAUUGGAGGGCAAGUCUGGUGCCAGCAGCCGCGGUAAUUCCAGCUCCAAUAGUGUAUAUUAGAGUUGUUGCAGUUAAAAAGCUCGUAGUUGGAUUUCUGCUGUGGUCAUCCGGUACCGCCCGUAUGGGUGCGCACCUGGUUUGGCUGCGGCUUUCUUCCUGUAGCCGUCCGCGCUUAAUUGCGUGCGUUGUGUUACGGAACUUUUACUUUGAGAAAAAUAGAGUGUUUCAAGCAGGCUUGUCGCCCUGAAUACUUCAGCAUGGAAUAAUAGGAUAGGACCUUGGUUCUAUUUUGUUGGUUUCUAGGACCAAGGUAAUGAUUAAUAGGGACAGUUGGGGGCAUUCGUAUUUAACUGUCAGAGGUGAAAUUCUUAGAUUUGUUAAAGACGAACUACUGCGAAAGCAUUUGCCAAGGAUGUUUUCAUUAAUCAAGAACGACAGUAGGGGGUUUGAAGACGAUUAGAUACCGUCGUAAUCUCUACCAUAAACUAUGCCGACUAGAGAUAGGGAAAUGCCUACCUUGGCUUCUCCUG
rnacentral:rRNA from 1 species